UUAAAUUGAAGAGUUUGAUCAUGGCUCAGAUUGAACGCUGGCGGCAGGCCUAACACAUGCAAGUCGAACGGUAACAGGUGG
rnacentral:rRNA from 1 species